rnacentral:rRNA from 1 species
GAUGAACGCUGGCGGCGUGCUUAACACAUGCAAGUCGAACGAAGCAUUUAAGACAGAUUCUUUCGGGAUGAAGACUUAUCUGACUGAGUGGCGGACGGGUGAGUAACGCGUGGGUAACCUACCCUGUACAGGGGGAUAACAGUUAGAAAUGACUGCUAAUACCGCAUAAGCGCACAGUACCGCAUGGUACAGUGUGAAAAACUCCGGUGGUACAGGAUGGACCCCGCGUCUGAUUAGUUAGUUGGCAGGGUAACGGCCUACCAAGACGACGAUCAGUAGCCGGCUUGAGAGAGUGAACGGCCACAUUGGAACUGAGACACGGUCC